UGCCAGCCGCCGCGGUAACACGGGGGGGCGCAAGCGUUAUUCGGAAUUAUUGGGCGUAAAGGGCGCGCAGGCGGUCUUGUCCGUCAGGUGUGAAAGCUCGGGGCUCAACCCCGGAAGUGCACUUGAAACAGCAAGACUUGAAUACGGUAGAGGAGAGAGGAAUUCCUGGUGUAGAGGUGAAAUUCGUAGAUAUCAGGAGGAACACCGAUGGCGAAGGCAUCUCUCUGGACCAAUACUGACGCUGAGAUGCGAAAGCGUGGGGAGCGAACAGGAUUAGAUA
rnacentral:rRNA from 1 species